AAGACCUUGCGCUUUUGGAGCGGCCGAUGUCUGAUUAGCUAGUUGGUGGGGUAAUAGCCUACCAAAGCUUCGAUCAGUAGCUGGUCUGAGAGGACGACCAGCCACACUGGGACUGAGACACGGCCCAGACUCCUACGGGAGGCAGCAGUGGGGAAUUUUGGACAAUGGGCGCAAGCCUGAUCCAGCCAUGCCGCGUGAGUGAAGAAGGCCUUCGGGUUGUAAAGCUCUUUCAGCCGGGAAGAAAAGGCUACGACGAAUAAUCGUAGCUCAUGACGGUACCGGAAGAAGAAGCACCGGCUAACUACGUGCCAGCAGCCGCGGUAAUACGUAGGGUGCGAGCGUUAAUCGGAAUUACUGGGCGUAAAGGGUGCGCAGGCGGUUUUGUAAGUCAGAUGUGAAAUCCCCGGGCUUAACCUGGGAACU
rnacentral:rRNA from 1 species